CUUUCUUACACCGAAUGCUUGCAUUCACCGUAAGAAGUUGAGUGGCGGACGGGUGAGUAACACGUGGGUAACCUGCCUAAAAGAAGGGGAUAACACUUGGAAACAGGUGCUAAUACCGUAUAUCUCUAAGGAUCGCAUGAUUCUUAGAUGAAAGAUGGUUCUGCUAUCGCUUUUAGAUGGACCCGCGGCGUAUUAACUAGUUGGUGGGGUAACGGCCUACCAAGGUGAUGAUACGUAGCCGAACUGAGAGGUUGAUCGGCCACAUUGGGACUGAGACACGGCCCAAACUCCUACGGGAGGCAGCAGUAGGGAAUCUACCACAAUGGACGCGAGUCUGAUGGAGCAACGCCGCGUGAGUGAAGAAGGUCUUCGGAUCGUAAAACUCUGUUGUUAGAGAAGAACACGAGUGAGAGUAACUGUUCAUUCGAUGACGGUAUCUAACCAGCAAGUCACGGCUAACUACGUGCCAGCAGCCGCGGUAAUACGUAGGUGGCAAGCGUUGUCCGGAUUUAUUGGGCGUAAAGGGAACGCAGGCGGUCUUUUAAGUCUGAUGUGAAAGCCCUCGGCUUAACCGGAGUAGUGCAUUGGAAACUGGAAGACUUGAGUGCAGAAGAGGAGAGUGGAACUCCAUGUGUAGCGGUGAAAUGCGUAGAUAUAUGGAAGAACACCAGUGGCGAAAGC
rnacentral:rRNA from 1 species